rnacentral:rRNA from 1 species
GAUGAACGCUGGCGGCGUGCCUAAUACAUGCAAGUCGAGCGAACGGACGAGAAGCUUGCUUCUCUGAUGUUAGCGGCGGACGGGUGAGUAACACGUGGAUAACCUACCUAUAAGACUGGGAUAACUUCGGGAAACCGUAGCUAAUACCGGAUAAUAUUUUGAACCGCAUGGUUCAAAAGUGAAAGACGGUUUUGCUGUCACUUAUAGAUGGAUCCGCGCUGCAUUAGCUAGUUGGUAAGGUAACGGCUUACCAAGGCAACGAUGCGUAGCCGACCUGAGAGGGUGAUCGGCCACACUGGAACUGAGACACGGUCCAGACUCCUACGGGAGGCAGCAGUAGGGAAUCUUCCGCAAUGGGCGAAAGCCUGACGGAGCAACGCCGCGUGAGUGAUGAAGGUCUUCGGAUCGUAAAACUCUGUUAUUAGGGAAGAACAAAUGUGUAAGUAACUAUGCACGUCUUGACGGUACCUAAUCAGAAAGCCACGGCUAACUACGUG